GAUGAACGCUGGCGGUAUGCUUAACACAUGCAAGUCGAACGGACUCUUCGGAGUUAGUGGCGGACGGGUGAGUAACGCGUGAGAAUCUGGCUUUGGGUUCGGGACAACCACUGGAAACGGUGGCUAAUACCGGAUGUGCCGAGAGGUAAAAGAGAAAUUGCCUGAAGAUGAGCUCGCGUCUGAUUAGCUAGUUGGUGAGGUAAGGCUCACCAAGGCAGCGAUCAGUAGCUGGUCUGAGAGGAUGACCAGCCACACUGGGACUGAGACACGGCCCAGACUCCUACGGGAGGCAGCAGUGGGGAAUUUUCCGCAAUGGGCGAAAGCCUGACGGAGCAAUACCGCGUGAGGGAAGAAGGCUCUUGGGUUGUAAACCUCUUUUCUUAGGGAAGAACAAAAUGACGGUACCUAAGGAAUCAGCAUCGGCUAACUCCGUG
rnacentral:rRNA from 1 species